UCUCCUCUCAUUCUCUCUCUAGAUCACUCACACUCUCUCUAAGCUCUUAGAGGAUGGAAGAAUGAAAUAAAAGUGAUGAGCAAAAUGGGAAGGGAAGGGUCCCUAUUUAUAGAAAAUGGGGACCGCUAGAUUUGUGCCAAGUGGUGAAAUUUGGUGAGGAGAGAGAAAGUAAAUGGGAAAUGAGUGAUGUGACAUCUCACGGAUGUGACCAACAAACGG
rnacentral:lncRNA from 1 species